rfam:Dipodomys ordii contig_51087, whole genome shotgun sequence.
GGGAAGGUGGCUCAGUGGUAGAGCGCUUGCCUUGUAUGCCUGAGGCCCGGGGUUCAAUUCCUCAGCAUCACA